UACAGAGGUCUCAAGCGUUGUUCGGAUUCAUUGGGCGUAAAGGGUGCGUAGGCGGCGCGGUAAGUCGGGGUGUGAAAUCUCGGGGCUUAACUCCGAAACUGCAUUCGAUACUGCCGUGCUUGAGGACUGGAGAGGAGACUGGAAAUUUACGGUGUAGCGGUGAAAUGCGUAGAUAUCGUAAGGAAGACCAGUGGCGAAGGCGGGUCUCUGGACAGUUCCUGACGCUGAGGCACGAAGGCCAGGGGAGCAAACGGG
rnacentral:rRNA from 1 species